rnacentral:rRNA from 1 species
UACGGGGGGUGCAAGCGUUAAUCGGAAUCACUGGGCGUAAAGGGUGCGUAGGCGGUACGUUAGGUCUGUCGUGAAAUCCCCGGGCUCAACCUGGGAAUGGCGGUAGAAACCGGCGAACUAGAGUAUGGGAGAGGGUGGUGGAAUUCCAGGUGUAGCGGUGAAAUGCGUAGAGAUCUGGAGGAACAUCAGUGGCGAAGGCGGCCACCUGGCCCAAUACUGACGCUGAGGCACGAAAGCGUGGGGGAGCAAACAGGAUUAGAUACCCUGGUAGUCCACGCCCUAAACGAUGAAUACUAGAUGUUUGGUACCUAGCGUACUGAGUGUCGUAGCUAACGCGAUAAGUAUUCCGCCUGGGAAGUACGGCCGCAAGGUUAAAACUCA